rnacentral:rRNA from 1 species
AGUGAACGCUGGCGGUAGGCCUAACACAUGCAAGUCGAACGGCAGCACAGUAAGAGCUUGCUCUUACGGGUGGCGAGUGGCGGACGGGUGAGGAAUACAUCGGAAUCUACUUUUUCGUGGGGGAUAACGUAGGGAAACUUACGCUAAUACCGCAUACGACCUACGGGUUAAAGCAGGGGAUCUUCGCACCUUGCGCGAUUGAAUUAGCCGAUGUCGGAUUAGCUAGUUGGCGGGGUAAAGGCCCACCAAGGCGACGAUCCGUAGCUGGUCUGAGAGGAUGAUCAGCCACACUGGAACUGAGACACGGUCCAGACUCCUACGGGAGGCAGCAGUGGGGAAUAUUGGACAAUGGGCGCAAGCCUGAUCCAGCCAUACCGCGUGGGUGAAGAAGGCCUUCGGGUUGUAAAGCCCUUUUGUUGGGAAAGAAAAGCAGCAGGUUAAUACCCCGAUGUUCUGACGGUACCCAAAGAAUAAGCACCGGCUAACUUCGUG